UGUGUGGACUAGCGGGAGCGCACGUUCCUGUGCCGGAGCUACCAGGGACCGGGAAGCAGCAGACCAAGACCCGGUACCUGCACCUGCCCUGCUGCCGCGGCCCACAGGCCGACCCACCAGCUGUAGAGGUGCAGGUGUGAACCGUCACAUCCGCAACUACGUGCGCCCGUGAUGGGCGUGUGCUCGUGGGCCCCAAGACGGCAGCGCGGGAUGGAGGAGGAGUCCAGGAAGCAGGUGCAGUGGCGAAAGGAUCAUGUUAUUAUGUCCCCCUCCCACUGUGCAAGCUGCAAUUCUUAGGAGGUGGUGAGGUGAUGAUGAUGAUGAUGUGAGGCUAUACUCCAUUGUGGGAGAACUAACCAAAAUCCAGGCAUCUCCUGGACAUUCCAGGAGACUGACUACUAAAUGUAUGGAGCCCCCCAAGUCCUGGAGCCCUAGGCUGCAGACUAAUAGGCCUAAUGGAUGACCAGGCACUGCACUUUUGGCAGGUAAAGAAAAAGUCCACAUAAACUUCCCUAUCUACUACUUUCAGCUUAUCCUCACAGGUGCUUCCUUGAGGUACUGCAUCAAGUCCAACCGGAACUCUGGUUAAGUUACUUUUGUUGGAGAUAUCCUCCUGUACCAAUGGCCUUCAGUUGUCUGUCUAAUACCAUUACCAAUAAACUGGGAGACAUCACACAAAGAAUUGUGAACUGACUAACAGACCUAUCCAUCUUGGCGCUAUAACUUAUUCUGUCCCCGCUGUGUCAUAAUAUGGACAACAUAGGCUUUUGGACUCCAAAAUGGCGUUUUGUUGAUUUGCGUUCCACCGGACCGGAAGUGGUCAUCGCAGCUUCCUGUUUGCGUUCCAAAGACCGGAAGUUGCCGCAAAAAGCCGCCAGAUGUGAUGUAAAUCUCCUCGGGACAUGGAUUAUUGGUGUUUUAGCGCCGAUAAUUACAACAGGGAUGGAUAGAAGCUAUGUCCUAGAUUUACAGUUAUAUUUAUGUACAGUAUAUGUAUUUUAAUGGAAAAAUGUCCAAAGAUUAUAGCUUGUGAAAUGUAUUAGAAUAUUUUAUGAAAUUAUUCUACUGUGUGUCUUUUUAUUCAUGUUUAAAUUUUGGUACUGACCAUGUUUUAUGAUGAACCAUUGUGCAAUGUACUGUCCACACUAAACGUGACCUAGAGGUUGGAUAUAUAUACGGUGACUAGAGUGCUCCCCUACACACCCUGAGGAAGGACCUUGUGUCAGAAACGCGUUGGGAGUGAAGGGGAACUCUCUGAUGCACAUGGACUAACCAAAUACCAUCUGGGUUUUGAUCACCAUAUAUUCCUCUCAGUCCGGGUGAGAAAGAGAAGUUGUGUUGUUUCUGUGCUUGUGUUAUUUUUUUUGUAGAGCUAUUUUUAUGUUUUUUAACUACUGUUUGU